CACUUCCUUCGAAAUGCAUUUGUAGCACUUUUCACUCGGAACAAAACACAGACCACAGCAUCUGUAAGACGUCUUUCUCCAUCAAAGCAGAUGGCUUUUCUCUCCUGGAUGGCUGUAACGCUGGCUUUGUUGCUGCCUGUCGAAACCAGUUUGGCUGCAGUGGAUCAAAACAAACUUGCAGACAUUGUAGGGGAGAUCAUAAACAGGUUCAAACCAAGCUACAAUGGUCGAAAUGGUAACAUAUGUGUUCAAACCUCGUAGUGGGGACGAAAUACCUGAGGAGGACCGUAGACAAGCCCUUGAGCGGCUUGGUAGGUCAAUUGGUCUGGAAAACAUAUUUCGCUGUACACGACAAGGUACAAUGCAAUGUACGAGCUGCUCUCGUGAUAAUACAGUGGCACCCUAUUGUUUUUCAUAUGAAUUCAGACGAGUUCAGGGAAGCAGAGGAGGUGGCAAGGUCAGUAGAAGGCAUGAAUGGGGGAAAAUGUAAAAUAGUGACAAAGAUGACCGUGUAACCUUCUCACAAAGUGGCAAUGAGGUCAGUAAUACAGAUGAUGAGGAUAAUAAAG